GUGAAAUAUACGAUAAAUACGUUCGUUCGUUCGGUUGUUGCGCAGUUUGCGGGACCGAACGAGCUGAUCUAGAUCGUAGAAUUUCCCUUCGUCUUUCUACGAAUUUUCUUGCUGCAGUCUACUAACAUAAUUUGCUACAUUAUCAACAUGCCAGCAGAAAAAUUUACCAACCCAGAAUUCCUGAGAGAAUUUAUUGAAUUGUACCGGGCCCUUCCUUGUCUCUGGAAAGUGAAAUCGGGAGAUUACAUGAAUAAAAUGAAACGAGAAAAGGCAUAUGAAGAAUUGGCAAACCUUUGCAAAUCAGUGUGCCCCAAAGCUGAUGUUCAAUUUGUGAAGAC